CGCGGGGUGGAGCAGCCUGGUAGCUCGUCGGGCUCAUAACCCGGAGGUCGCAGGUUCAAAUCCUGCCCCCGCAACCA
rnacentral:tRNA from 1 species